CUUUAUUUGAGAGUUUGAUCCUGGCUCAGGAUGAACGCUGGCGGCGUGCCUAAUACAUGCAAGUCGAGCGAAUGGAUUAAGAGCUUGCUCUUAUGAAGUUAGCGGCGGACGGGUGAGUAACACGUGGG
rnacentral:rRNA from 1 species